CAAGUAUAUAAUAGGUUAGUAUGAAUCCUUUAUGAGAAAAACCAAAACCGAAACCAAAAAACUCGAAAAAAUCCGAGAUUGAAAAUAUGACUUUUAUUGGUUUUAUUUGAUUUUUAAAUUUAAAAAUUCGACAUAAAUAAUUUAAUUUGAUUUGAAAAAUUCAAACCAACCCGAUUAUGUAUAUCCUUACCAUGAUAGAGAGCUAUCACAAAAAUUUAAAAAUAAUAUUAAUUGUGUGGAUAGUUCAUUCAAUGAAUCUAUAGCAUACAUGUAUCGGAUUAAGGCAUGACUUAAUUUUUAUAUCUAACUACGAUUUGUAUAUUCUCUAACAAGAUAUUCUUCAUAUUUGUUGGAAGACACUCCAAUACCCUUGUCUAAAGAGAUCUUAUUUUAUAUUAUUUUAUUUGCUAUAAAUUUUAAAACACGUUAUUAGCAUGAUAUUCUAAUCAACUAUGGAUUUCAAUUUCUUCAAUCCGCAAGAAUAUUCUUGGUCUCCCAUUGUGACUGCUAGUGGACGCAAAGUUUGUUUUGAACUGCUGCCUUCCUUCUGAAGAUCCUGAUGAACUGGCACUAUUCAUUGAGCUUGCUUCAGUAAACAUUUGAUUGUCAGACUUGAAUUCUCGCUGUUUUUCAUCUGGAACCAAUAGAGCAAAAGCUUUGGCUAUGUAUGGCAAGAGAUUCAUCAUUUGUAUAUUUCCUCUAAUUAUAAUGUAGAUUUAAUUUAGCCCCUCCCUCCACAAUUGCACACACAACUACACUGAUUUUUAGUGUUCACAUUGCUUAACUCUUCCCACAACUUCUUCAUCCUAGUGUAGUAUACAGUAAUGUCAAGCACACCUUGACUUAAAUCAUUGAUCUCCUUCUGAAUUUGAAACAGCUUUGCCCCAUUUGUUUGAUCAUAACGAUCUUCCGACUGCAUCCAUAACUCCAAAGCAUCACGAGCAUACUCGACACUGUUAACGAUAUCCUUUCCAAGAGAAUGAGAAUCCAAGAUAUGACUAUAUUGUCACAUCUUUCCCACUGUCGAUAUUGAGGUGAAUUGAGAUUUGGUCUCAGACAUUUCCCAGAGAUGAAGACUAACUUGUUUUUCACAGAGGGACCUUAUCACACCUCUCCUCCAAGAUCUAUAACCCACUCCAUCAAAUGUUGCUUGAACUAGGAGUAGACUCGGGCUGUCAGAUGGAUGAAUAUACAGAGGUUUACUUACAUGAUAAUGUUGUUUCCUGCAGAAGAGUUGUUUUUUGUAGAGUUGUUGCUAUGCUCAGUGACUUCUACCAUGCUGAACUGAUUACAGAUUAAUUAUACAUGGAGAUCUAAGAUCAUUGGUUACAUAUUUACAAUGAACAAUUAAAGAUGGAGCAGCAAAUUAAAGGAUCCCAUAAGAGCAACCUUCCUCUGGUACCAUGUCGAAUUGAUGAUUAAGAACACAAAAGAUCAAUUACAGAAAAGAGAUUCAUGGAGACUUCAUUGGAGAAGAUGAAGAUGGAAUAACAGAGAGAUUUUCUGAAUUGGAUUGAAUGAACUAACUGCAAUUACAUUUGUGACAACUCCUAUUUAUAGAGCUAAAAAUGAUUCUAUAAGAAAUAACAAAUUUAAAUGAUUCUGUACAAAAAGAAAUUAAAAAACUGUGUAACUAAUUUGUAACUAACUCUAACAAAUGUUAAUUAACAAACAUGCAAAGUAAAAUUAGAUAAUAUUCUCAAUAUAUAUCAACAAUUUGAAAAAAUCUAUUCAAUGUACAUAACUAUUUAAAGCUAAAAUCAAUGAGUUUUUGUUGGAGAUUUAAACAAAGAAGGCUACACAAGGGGAGAAAACAAAAGAAUUAGAUCUUACUAUGACAACAAGACGAAUACGAACUAGAAAAAGAUUCAGAUGAAUCCAUUAGCUUAUUUAGCAAUGCACCUUUAUAAUCAAGAGAGUUGUUGCUCUUGUUCGUGGGCUUGAGCUGAAGAGGGCGAGGCGCGCGCCUUUGCAACCUGCUAAGUGGCCUUUUUAUUAUUGCAAAUUCAUCUUUUGGUGUAAUUAAAGUUUGGAAACCAGGAAACUCAUGUUCAUCAACAACACGUUCCUCCAUGAUUUUGAUUUCUUACGAGAAUCGUAGUCUCUUUCAGAGUAUUAUUAGUAUUAUCUUCACUCUAGAUGAUUCAUGAGGGGCUGUCCCCAAGAAUUUAUGGGGGGGGGGACCAAUAAGGAUGUGUUAGUACGAAAAAAAUUAUUUGGAGUUUUCUUAUUUUCAGUAUGCCCCCAUACUUCUAGGCAAAAUUUAUGUGAUAUAUUAAUGGGAACAUGGUCCAACAUAUAUGGACCUAUGAUACCUUUAAGUAUGGUCUAAAUGUUGAUAAAAUUGCAUAUUUGGUACUAA